rnacentral:rRNA from 1 species
GAUGAACGCUGGCGGCGUGCCUAAUACAUGCAAGUCGAGCGAACAGACGAGGAGCUUGCUCCUCUGACGUUAGCGGCGGACGGGUGAGUAACACGUGGAUAACCUACCUAUAAGACUGGGAUAACUUCGGGAAACCGGAGCUAAUACCGGAUAAUAUAUUGAACCGCAUGGUUCAAUAGUGAAAGACGGUUUUGCUGUCACUUAUAGAUGGAUCCGCGCCGCAUUAGCUAGUUGGUAAGGUAACGGCUUACCAAGGCAACGAUGCGUAGCCGCCCUGAGAGUGUGACCGGCCACACUGGAACUGAGACACGCUCCAGACUCCUACGGGAGGCAGCAGUAGGGAAUCUUCCGCAAUGGGCGAAAGACUGACGGAGCAACGCCGCGUGAGUGAUGAAGGUCUUCGGAUCGUAGAACUCUGUUAUUAGGGAAGAACAAAUGUGUAAGUAACUAUGCACGUCUUGACGGUACCUAAUCAGAAAGCCACGGCUAACUACGUG